GACGAACGCUGGCGGCGUGCCUAAUACAUGCAAGUAGAACGCUGAAGGAGGAGCUUGCUUCUCUGGAUGAGUUGCGAACGGGUGAGUAACGCGUAGGUAACCUGCCUGGUAGCGGGGGAUAACUAUUGGAAACGAUAGCUAAUACCGCAUAAGAGUAGAUGUUGCAUGACAUUUGCUUAAAAGGUUCAAUUGCAUCACUACCAGAUGGACCUGCGUUGUAUUAGCUAGUUGGUGGGGUAACGGCUCACCAAGGCGACGAUACAUAGCCGACCUGAGAGGGUGAGAGGACAAACUGGGACUGAGGCACGGCCCAGAACCCUAGGGGAGGGAGAAGUAGGGAAUCUUCGGCGAUGGACGGAAGUCUGACCGAGCAACGCCGCGUGAGUGAAGAAGGUUUUCGGAUCGUAAAGAUCUGUUGUAAGAGAAGAACGAGUGUGAGAGUGGAAAGUUCACACUGUGACGGUAUCUUACCAGAAAGGGACGGCUAACUACGUG
rnacentral:rRNA from 1 species